CAUGUUUAAAUAUAAAUGCGUCUGCUGCCAGCGUCGAAGUUGUACACGAUUGAUAAUUCAAUAUCGGACAGGAUUUUUUAAUGAACAAUACGCGAUGCAUCAUGGGUGAACCGACAGAAUCCAUUCCUAAUACUGCACGAAAUAUUCCAACUUAAGAAUGACGUAAACCUCCAACAAUGAACCGUGAUGUCACACAUCGAAGUUCACACAGGCUGCUGUACCAUUCUAUCCAUGCAUAUUAUACGUACGUACGUGUGCGUAGUAAAGAGAACGUGAAUGGUUUUUGAUCAAAUAUGGUAUGAGAGUUGAAUGGAAAUUUCAACCAAACUCAAUCCUAUAAUCAUUGUAACUGUCAAAUCACAACACACUUUGAGUAAUUGUUCACCACGAUUCACAUAUCUUGUUGCACAAAUAAUCUAUGAUUGAAAUUUUUCUACACGCGCUCAAGGCACGCAGCAGAACCGCGAGAACGAAAAAUUAGAAAAUCUCGAGUGCGUACAACCAGCGGAUACUUUCGACUUAUACGCCUCGGUAUAUAUUAAUUUCUUCCCACGCGAUUAUUACUUUUUACGCCACUCGCCAAUCGAAUUUCAAUUAUAUACACGCACAGGUAUCCGCAUACACACAAUAUAUACGUAUCAUGUACACACAUAUAUAAUGUUAUAUAUAUCCGCGUUUAUAGUUAUUAUUACAACACUAAAAUAAUUUAUGCAGAUUAUUAUACCAGUUUUGCAAUCGGAUUUGUUUUAGUCACCAUAUAUUACAUUAUUAAAAUACACUCACACACAUACACACACGUAUAUAAUAUAAAGUAGGCUGUCACAUACAGAUCACACUAAAGAAAGUAUAGCGGUUUUGAAUAUGCUUAUGAAAAUAUGGAUUAUCGUUAUUUUUAUUAUUAUUGUUGUUGUUGUACACACAUGCGACGAAAACGUACCAAUUUCUGUCUCUCGACGAUUUAAAUAUGAUUACUGAUUUAAUCCACGACAAAUAUAUGUAAUUUUUUUCUUUCAAUCAUCACGCGAAAAAAUACGAGAGCACUUCGCUUCAUUUAAUGUCGAUACCUUUGAUCCUGAGCCUCACGUCUACUUACCCGAAGCCGUAUUAACGCUAGUAUAAAUUACGAACGAUGAUCCGUUUUCUAAUUAUAAUAGGUAAUAAUAGUUUGUAAUAACAGAUCUCCAGAUAAGUAACAGCAAUUUCUGGUCACAUUUCAAAGAAGGAAAACGAAAAUAUUAAUCAGUGAGAACGAAAAAAUUCCAACUGUUUUAUCAUUUGUUCGUGUGGCUGUAAAACACACGGGAGGUUGAGACUUGGUAUACUACUAUUUUUCAUUACUUCGGUAAUUAAUUAUAUCGUAUGUGUUCUCAGCAGUUGCUCAAUUUGAAUUAAACGUCAUGAAGGGAUAUCUGCGCAAUAAUGGCAGCCAACAAUUACGUGAUUCUCUACCUCACCAAUGAGCUGUCGAAGCACGUCAUCUCUCUCUUUGGAAGCUUCCUUGAAAAUUACGCAGAUAUAAAUUACGUGUGUGUAAUUGAAGAGGGUUUUAUUGAGGCUUUGAUAUGGUUCCUCGAACUCUGUGAGGAACUUUGUGAGGGUCUAAGAAAAAAGAAAUAAACAAAGAAAAACUCGUACGUAGUUUUUAUCAUACGAGACCAGGAAAACCAAUAAUUCACACAAUGUAUGUAAUUCAAUUCCGUAAAUAUAAUCUUGAUUUUAAAUAAAUUUUCUCCAAAUCUUCCUUGAAUACGUCAAGUGGAGGACAUUUUUUUUCACAAACGAAAAAGAAUUAAGCAAUUUCAACGAGUGGAUAGAAACCGUUGGAAAUGUGUAUACUUCAACACGUGCCAAAUAAACUUAUUUU